rnacentral:lncRNA from 1 species
GUUGCUGUUUGCGGUGGUCUAGGGAGGAAGAAGUUGACACACUUGGUAACGGCUGCUGUCAGCCUUACACAUCCCGGGACUCACACGGUGCUUUGGAGAAGAGGUUGUUCACAACAGGUAUCCAGCAAUGAGGACCUGCCCAUUUCAAUGGAAAAUCCUUAUAAAGAACCUCUUAAGAAAUGUAUCUUGUGUGGAAAGCAUGUAGAUUAUAAGAAUGUACAGGUCUUUGUGGGAAGAAACAGAAAGAAAUCACAAAAGCAAUUAAGAGAGCUCAAAUAAUGGGGUUUAUGCCAGUUACAUACAAGGAUCCUGCAUAUCUCAAGGACCCUAAAGUUUGUAACAUCAGAUAUCGGGAAUAAAUUCUAUCACGUUACCACUAAUAAACUUAUUUUACAGUAAGUGGUUGUAUGAUGCCAAUACUGACUCAAACCAACCUUUGGAUAGAAAAGUGUUUGAGGAGUGAGGUAAAGAAUGACACUUCCCCUUCAUA